AUCCCUCCAAAAAUGCAACUCACCAGCACAAAGGAAACUGUUUUUCUGAAAAGAGUCAGAGCCACCUUCACUUGGCCUUAUCUAAAUAGACAAAACGGUAAACUAUUUUGUACAGAGACAGCAAAAAAUCAUGGUUUAUUAAAGGACAGUGUUACUCCAGAUAACACUUGGAUGUCGUGGACCAAACGCCAGAAAGUGUUUCCAAAACCUGACGUUAAAUUGCCUGAAACUUUAAAUUGUGCUUUUUUUUUUCAUUAUAAAAAGGGAAACUGUAUUAAUCUUAUUCUAUCAUCUUUUUUUUUCUUUUUGUUGAACAUAUUCACUGUUUGUUUAUUAAUAAAUUACCAUUCAGUUUGAAUGAGAUCUAUAUGUCUGGAUACUUUAAUACAGCUUUAAUUAUUAUAAGAAAAAAAAGAGAUUUCAGAUUAAAACACUAGAAAUGACCUAUUCUCCUCCUAAAUAUCUGAGAAAUGGAGAAACCCUCUGACUAUAACUUGUCAAAUUUCACCUAAAAGUCUCUUUUUUGUUUAGAUUUGUUUUUCCUGCAACGUCUUCUGCAAAAUGUACUCUAUAGUCAGCUUGCUUUGUGGCUAGUCAGAAGAUAUUUUCCUAAACAGGUCUGAGUUGGCAUAUAUACAAAUAUAUAUAUAUAUUUUUUCAGUAAGGACAGAACAUGAUCUGGAAAUUUUAAGCCCAUGAAUCGGCAGUGGUGUUACCACAGUGAUACCUGUGUGUAGAGAUAUGUGAAUGUGCCUCCAGAUAUACACAGAGGAAUAUUUGGCUUCUGUAUCACAUAAAAAAUUGUGAUGUCUGUUCUACAUCCCCGUGAGCCAAAUGCUGGGUAGAUAUUUCUCCUACUAAUUUCACUCCUUUGUAAGAGAAAAAAUAAAGCAGUUCUUUUUUUUUAAAAAAAAUGUAUGUAUAUAACUCAUCCACAUUUACAAUCCUUCGUGUGUUACAUAGAAGGGUUGGUUUAAAAAAAAAAUAUAUAUAUAUAUACUGUGGGUUGGAAAGGGAUAUUUAAUCUUUGGGAAACUAUUUUAGAAGAUAUGUUUGUAGAACAAUUAUUAUUAUUAUUUUUUCUUUUGGAAAAGAUUUAAAGCAAUAAGGAGAGAAGAGCAGAACAUUUUAGUCUAGGGUGGUUUCUUUUCGAUCCAUUUUUUUUUCUUGUUAAUUUACAGUUAAACGUAGGGGGCGAUCCAGAUUGGCCCUCCCCCUUUGUAAAUAACCCAGGAAAUGUAAUAAAUUCAUUAUCUUAGGGCGAUCUGCCCUGUCAAUCAGACUUUGGAGAGAUGGCGAUUUGAUUACAGCCGAUCAGGGCCUUACAGUUUGUUUUCGAGAUAAUACAGUUUCCUGCUAUCUGCCGCUCCUAUCUAGAGGCAACACUUAGCAGUAAUUGCUAUUGCUUGUUGUCAAAAUCUGAUCAUUGUUAAAGGAUUGCUGCAAAUAAAUACACUCUAAUUUCAGUCAAACCCUGCUCUCCGUGGCCUCUGAUUUGCUCGGGAAGGUCGCAGCGGCCAGGGCGCCCCAGGGCGCGGCGGUCCCCGGGCAGGGAGGCCGGCAGGGACUCGCCCGACUGCUCGCUCGGGCUCCGCCGGCUGUCGCGGCCCGCGGCCCGGGGCGGCCUCGGUGACCCCCGCGGGGUGGGCGCACCCCGGGGCCCUGGCUUGCCUAGGCCCGGCCGGGAAGGGCCGCAGGUGGACCCGCCCCAGGCCGCGCGGCUCCGGCAGCCCCGGCCCCGGCCUCCCCGCGCCGGCCCGCUGCGCGGUCGGGACCGGGGCUUGGCGAGUGUAGACGCGCGGCCCACCCGGCUCUGCAGCCGGCGCCGGCCUCGGGACGCGGC
rnacentral:lncRNA from 1 species